CCCUUCUCUCCAUGAAAUAGCCAUUCGUCAGAUCAACCCACUGGCAGGUUUCUUUACGGAUACAUCUUGGAGUAGGUGACCAGCCAUUCUUUGAACACGUAAUUUCACCAUCUUCAUUUUCAGUACGAUAGUUUUUAUUGCAGAAAUAUUUAGUUCUUUCACCUUCUUUAAAAUAUCUUUUCCAAUUAUUUUGGAUAUAACCAUUUUCCAGAGGCCCGA
rnacentral:lncRNA from 1 species